GGGGGCGGGGGCCUAUACAUGCAAGUCGAACGCUUUGUCUUUAAUUGAUCUGACGAGCUUGCUCUGAUUUGAUUUUAUCUGACAAAGAGUGGCGAACGGGUGAGUAACACGUGGGUAACCUACCUCUUAGCAGGGGAUAACAUUUGGAAACAAGUGCUAAUACCGUAUAAUACCAACAACCGCAUGGUUGUUGGUUGAAAGAUGGUUCUGCUAUCACUAAGAGAUGGACCCGCGGUGCAUUAGCUAGUUGGUAAGGUAACGGCUUACCAAGGCAAUGAUGCAUAGCCGAGUUGAGAGACUGAUCGGCCACAAUGGGACUGAGACACGGCCCAUACUCCUACGGGAGGCAGCAGUAGGGAAUCUUCCACAAUGGGCGCAAGCCUGAUGGAGCAACGCCGCGUGUGUGAUGAAGGGUUUCGGCUCGUAAAACACUGUUAUAAGAGAAGAACGGCACUGAGAGUAACUGUUCAGUGUGUGACGGUAUCUUACCAGAAAGGAACGGCUAAAUACGUGCCAGCAGCCGCGGUAAUACGUAUGUUCCAAGCGUUAUCCGGAUUUAUUGGGCGUAAAGCGAGCGCAGACGGUUAUUUAAGUCUGAAGUGAAAGCCCUCAGCUCAACUGAGGAAUGGCUUUGGAAACUGGAUGACUUGAGUGCAGUAGAGGAAAGUGGAACUCCAUGUGUAGCGGUGAAAUGCGUAGAUAUAUGGAAGAACACCAGUGGCGAAGGCGGCUUUCUGGACUGUAACUGACGUUGAGGCUCGAAAGUGUGGGUAGCAAACAGGAUUAGAUACCCUGGUAGUCCACACCGUAAACGAUGAGUGCUAGAUGUUCGAGGGUUUCCGCCCUUGAGUGUCGCAGCUAACGCAUUAAGCACUCCGCCUGGGGGAGUACGACCGCAAGGUUGAAACUCAAGAAGAUUUGACGGGGA
rnacentral:rRNA from 1 species